GUUGUGAGGUUAAGCGACUAAGCGUACACGGUGGAUGCCCUGGCAGUCAGAGGCGAUGAAGGACGUAUUAACUUGCGAUAAGCCCAGAUUAGGCAGUAAAAGCCACUUGAGUCUGGGAUUUCCGAAUGGGGAAACCCACUUACAUAAGUAAGUAUCCUGUUGUGAAUACAUAGCAACAGGAGGCGAACCGGGGGAACUGAAACAUCUAAGUACCCCGAGGAAAAGAAAUCAACCGAGAUUCCGAAAGUAGCGGCGAGCGAAAUUGGACUAGCCCUUAAGCUUUACACACGUUAGACGAACGGUCUGGAAAGGCCGACGAUACAGGGUGAUAGUCCCGUAGUUGACGAUGUGUGUUCAGUGAAAUCGAGUAGGGCGGGACACGUGAUAUCCUGUCUGAAUAUGGGGGGACCA
rnacentral:rRNA from 1 species